rnacentral:lncRNA from 1 species
AUACAGGCAGGUACUCCACUGAUCCAUAUGGAGCUUCAGGAUCCAGACCUCCGCCCCAAUUUGAUGCAGGACGAUACUCCGACGCCUCCUACGCCUUCACGAAUGACUACUAUCAAGAGGCCGGUGCUUUCUUCACUCGUACCGACAACACCCUCCUCAACAUCCAGAACACGCAAGCAGAACAUGGAAGGCUCCUGGAAGAGCAACAAAAAUGGAACUAGGACCAUGCCGCUGCAGUAGAAGAGCUGAGACAAGAUACAACAACCAUGAACGACAACAUCACAACCAUGACGCGGUUCUGGAACAUCGGGUAAGACCGACGGCA